rnacentral:rRNA from 1 species
UACGAAGGGGGCUAGCGUUGCUCGGAAUUACUGGGCGUAAAGGGAGCGUAGGCGGACUGUUAAGUCAGGGGUGAAAUCCUGGAGCUCAACUCCAGAACUGCCUUUGAUACUGAGGAUCUUGAGUUCGGGAGAGGUGAGUGGAACUGCGAGUGUAGAGGUGAAAUUCGUAGAUAUUCGCAAGAACACCAGUGGCGAAGGCGGCUCACUGGCCCGAUACUGACGCUGAGGCACGAAAGCGUGGGGAGCAAACAGG